rnacentral:snRNA from 1 species
GUCCCUUCGGGCACAUCCGAUAAAAUUGGAACAUUACAGAAAAGAUUAGCAUGGCCUAUGCGCUAGGAUCGAGAAAUUGUCUAAAUUUUG